UGUUAAAAAAAAAUUCAUUUGUACUGUUAAAAACUGGCAUGGUUGAUAAAAUAACCAGACAGUAACAAGUGACUUGUAACAUAUACCUCGUGCUGAUGUACAAGGACCAGUUUUUAAUAGUAAAAAUGGAUGAAAUUUUUAACA
rfam:Gossypium raimondii Chr05_contig_158, whole genome shotgun sequence.